rnacentral:rRNA from 1 species
GACGAACGCUGGCGGCGUGCUUAACACAUGCAAGUCGAACGGAAAGGCCCUGCUCUUGUUGGGUGCUCGAGUGGCGAACGGGUGAGUAACACGCGAGUAACCUGCCCUUGACUUUGGGAUAACUUCAGGAAACUGGGGCUAAUACCGGAUAGGAGCUCUUGAUGCACGGUGGGGGUUGGAAAGUUUCGGCGGUUGGGGAUGGACUCGCGGCUUAUCAGCUUGUUGGUGGGGUAGUGGCUUACCAAGGCUUUGAAGGGUAGCCGGCCUGAGAGGGUGACCAGCGACAUUGGGACUGAGAUACGGCCCAGACUCCUACGGGAGGCAGCAGUGGGGAAUAUUGCACAAUGGGCGGAAGCCUGAUGCAGCAACGCCGCGUGCGGGAUGACGGCCUUCGGGUUGUAAACCGCUUUGGCCUGUGACGAAGCGUGAGUGACGGUAAUGGGUAAAGAAGCACCGGCUAACUACGUG